rnacentral:misc_RNA from 1 species
GAUGAAGAACGCAGUGAAAUGCGAUACUUGGUGUGAAUUGCAGAAUCCCGUGAACCAUCGAGUCUUUGAACGCAAGUUGCGCCCGAAGCCACUAGGCCGAGGGCACGCCUGCCUGGGCGUCACACGCCGUUGCCCCCCCAUCUACUCCUUCGGGAUUGCGGGGGGGCGGAUGAUGGCCUCCUGUGCGCCUAGCCGCGCGGUUGGCAUAAAUACCAAGUCCUCGGCGACGCACGCCACGACAAUCGGUGGUUGCGAAACCUCGGUUGCCCGUCGUGUGCGUUCGUCGCGCAUCGAGGGCUCGAAAAAAUGCUCGGCUCCGGCUGGGCUUUCAACGCGACCCCAGGUCAGGCGGGGUUACCCGCUGAAUUUAAGCAUAUCAAAAGCGGAGGA